rnacentral:rRNA from 1 species
UACGUAGGGUGCGAGCGUUGUCCGGAAUUAUUGGGCGUAAAGAGCUCGUAGGCGGCCUGUCGCGUCGGAUGUGAAAGCCCGGGGCUUAACCCCGGGUCUGCAUUCGAUACGGGCAGACUAGAGUGUGGUAGGGGAGAUCGGAAUUCCUGGUGUAGCGGUGAAAUGCGCAGAUAUCAGGAGGAACACCGGUGGCGAAGGCGGAUCUCUGGGCCAUUACUGACGCUGAGGAGCGAAAGCGUGGGGAGCGAACAGG